GCUAUCUACAGGCUUAACACAUGCAAGUCGAGGGGCAUCAGGAAGAAAGCUUGCUUUCUUUGCUGGCGACCGGCGCACGGGUGAGUAACACGUAUCCAACCUGCCCUUUACUCGGGGAUAGCCUUUCGAAAGAAAGAUUAAUACCCGAUGGCAUAAUGAUUCCGCAUGGUUUCAUUAUUAAAGGAUUCCGGUAAAGGAUGGGGAUGCGUUCCAUUAGGUUGUUGGUGAGGUAACGGCUCACCAAGCCUUCGAUGGAUAGGGGUUCUGAGAGGAAGGUCCCCCACAUUGGAACUGAGACACGGUCCAAACUCCUACGGGAGGCAGCAGUGAGGAAUAUUGGUCAAUGGGCGCUAGCCUGAACCAGCCAAGUAGCGUGAAGGAUGAAGGCUCUAUGGGUCGUAAACUUCUUUUAUAUAAGAAUAAAGUGCAGUAUGUAUACUGUUUUGUAUGUAUUAUAUGAAUAAGGAUCGGCUAACUCCGUGCCAGCAGCCGCGGUAAUACGGAGGAUCCGAGCGUUAUCCGGAUUUAUUGGGUUUAAAGGGAGCGUAGGUGGACUGGUAAGUCAGUUGUGAAAGUUUGCGGCUCAACCGUAAAAUUGCAGUUGAUACUGUCAGUCUUGAGUGCAGUAGAGGUGGGCGGAAUUCGUGGUGUAGCGGUGAAAUGCUUAGAUAUCACGAAGAACUCCGAUUGCGAAGGCAGCUCACUGGACUGCAACUGACACUGAUGCUCGAAAGUGUGGGUAUCAAACAGGAUUAGAUACCCUGGUAGUCCACACAGUAAACGAUGAAUACUCGCUGUUUGCGAUAUACAGUAAGCGGCCAAGCGAAAGCAUUAAGUAUUCCACCUGGGGAGUACGCCGGCAACGGUGAAACUCAAAGGAAUUGACGGGGGCCCGCACAAGCGGAGGAACAUGUGGUUUAAUUCGAUGAUACGCGAGGAACCUUACCCGGGCUUAAAUUGCAGUGGAAUGAUGUGGAAACAUGUCAGUGAGCAAUCACCGCUGUGAAGGUGCUGCAUGGUUGUCGUCAGCUCGUGCCGUGAGGUGUCGGCUUAAGUGCCAUAACGAGCGCAACCCUUAUCUUUAGUUACUAACAGGUUAUGCUGAGGACUCUAGAGAGACUGCCGUCGUAAGAUGUGAGGAAGGUGGGGAUGACGUCAAAUCAGCACGGCCCUUACGUCCGGGGCUACACACGUGUUACAAUGGGGGGUACAGAAGGCAGCUAGCGGGUGACCGUAUGCUAAUCCCAAAAGCCUCUCUCAGUUCGGAUCGAAGUCUGCAACCCGACUUCGUGAAGCUGGAUUCGCUAGUAAUCGCGCAUCAGCCACGGCGCGGUGAAUACGUUCCCGGGCCUUGUACACACCGCCCGUCAAGCCAUGGGAGCCGGGGGUACCUGAAGUACGUAACCGCAAGGAUCGUCCUAGGGUAAAACUGGUGACUGGGGC
rnacentral:rRNA from 1 species